rnacentral:rRNA from 1 species
UACAGAGGUCCCAAGCGUUGUUCGGAUUCACUGGGCGUAAAGGGUGCGUAGGUGGUGAAGUAAGUCGGAUGUGAAAUCUCGGAGCUUAACUCCGAAACUGCAUUGGAAACUACUUUGCUCGAGGGUUGGAGGGGGGACUGGAAUUCUCGGUGUAGCAGUGAAAUGCGUAGAUAUCAGGAGGAACACCUGUGGUGUAGACAGCUUACUGGACCAUUUCUGACGCUGAGACACGAAAGCGUGGGUAGCAAACAGG